CGAGGUGCCUGAGGUAGUUGCUGCUCUUUUGAUGAUUCAAAAAUUGAGGAGAGGAAAGUCCGGGCUCCACGGGAGAAUGGUAGCGGAUAACUUCCGCCGGGCUUAGCCCAGGACAAGUGCCACAGAAAAUAACCGCCUGUUUUUUUCAGGUAAGGGUGAAAAGGUGCGGUAAGAGCGCACCGCGUUCGCGGCAACGUGGAUGGCAUAGGUAAACUCUACCAGGAGCAAGACCAAACAGAAGAAGAGUGUGCUCUCGCGCGAUAGAUUUUUCGGGUAGGUCGCUUGAAGUGCAUAGUAAUGUGUACCCUAGAUGAAUGACUACCGUAUACAGAACCCGGCUUAUGGGGCACCUCGUUUU
rfam:Neorickettsia sennetsu strain Miyayama, complete genome.